rnacentral:rRNA from 1 species
AGACCGAUAGCAAACAAGUACCGUGAGGGAAGAUUGAAAAGAACUUUGAAGAGAGAGUUCAAUAGUACGUGAAACUGUGUGGUGGUAAACGGAGGGGUUCUCGAAGUCUCUGUGGGGAACUCAACCUUGGUGUCGGGCGGUCUGGGCGUGUCCGAUCAGCAAUGACGGCGCGUUCUCUCCGGCUUGGCUCUCGGGUGCAUUUCCCCCGCAGUUUACGGCAGGAACCGUUUGGCUCGGACCGAAGGCCUCGGGUGAAGUUGUCGCUUAUGGUGGCAGCCCUGGGUGUCCUGGCUCUGCGCCCGACGGGUACGUGAGAGGACUCGUAUAGCGAGCAACGCUCUGUUGCGGUUCUCAUCUCUCUGCCGAGUAGGUCGGCGGCCCCUCCGACCCGUCUUGAAACACGGAC